CUUAAUCUUCCAAAUUCCAGAAAAUAUAGUAUGGCAGCUCAGCUCCGGCAUGCUCUUGAAUGGAUCCACUCACAAUUAAGAUACUCAGAUCUAGCCUUGGAAUCCUUUCUAGCGGUGCUGGAAUCCCUACCAGUUUUACUACACGGACCACAAACUCUCAAGGUCAACUGCUUUCCAUGGUCUCUUAUCAAGAUAUGUUCCUGAAAACCACAUGCUAUGCAUAUUUUACCCAGCACCGACUCAAUUUAAAUGCACUCACACCAAACACCAAAGUGGUCCGAAAACCAGUCAGUAUCUGGUGUGACUGCCAUUUGCCAACAUGAUGUGAUGGACGUGGAUAAAUGGCAAAUGGCACAACAAUGGGCCUCAGGAUCUCGUCACGGUAUCUCUGCAUUCAAAUAAAAUAAAAUGCACCUGUGUUCGUUGUCCAUAACAUACACCUUCCCAUGCCACAACUGCACCGCCACCAUGGGCCACUCAAUCCACAACAUUGACAUCAGCAAGCCGCUGACCCACACAACGCCAUACACGCUGUCUGCCAUCUGCCCUGUAGUUAAAAUCGGGAUUCAACUGUAAAGAGAACACCUCUCCAAAGUGUCAGACGCCAUUGAAUGUGAGCAUUUGCCCACUCAAGUCAGUUACUACUAACUGCAGUCAGGUCGGGACGACGAGCAUGCAGAAUAACUUCCCCGAGACGGUUUCUGACAGUUUGUGCAGAAAUUAUUUGGUUAUGCAAAUCGAUUGUUACAGCAGCUGUCAGGGUGGCUGGUCUCAGACAAUCUUGGAGGUAAAGAUACUGG